UUCCUGUUUCCUUAUUAUCAAUAUGAUCAUACCUGAGUUUUUCAUCGCUUUUUUAAUGCGUGCUUCAAUUUUCUUUUUUAUUUUGAUUAUUAAUUAGCAUUUGUUCUCUUUUUUUCUAUCUUUCCAUUUUAUAACAUAAUGCGUUAUAUUUGCUACAAUAUAUUGUUUUCUUUUUCAUUAUAUUUUUAUUUAUAUACUGUACUCCUACUAUUUUGUGUGCCUAAAAGGAUUUUAUCCCAAGACUUAACCCUCUCUCUCUCUCUCUCUCUCUCUCUCUCUCUCUCUCUCUCUGUGGCAUCCUUAUGGACUUACAUAUGACGGGAGUCAUAUUGCAUAUCCGUGUGCUGCUUCGUCGGCAAAUUUACACUCUCGCGCGGAGGGUGCUUGACCGAGCGUCUCUGAGAGAGAGAGAAAAAACAGAAACAUCGGCCUCGCGAGUGCGAUGGAUGGCGGAUCAGCGGAGCGUGGCCUCACCUGUUCCUCCCUAGUGGCUCAUUGUUGGGCGCAGUUAGCCGCGGCUCUUCAUAGUGCCCCGCCGGAUACGCCAGCGCGCUCGACUGUAUGCUCCACUAACUCCAACGUCCACCGCGACGUCUUCGUGACCGCGGAGCGCGGGCGCUAGGACGCAGCGGGAAAACCAGUUCGCUCCAACGGUGCUACGUUUUUUGCGAGCCGAUAUUCGCGAGCUGGCGCAAUGCAGCCUGCAGUGAGAUAUCGGCGUGAGAUAAAGUCGCCUAGAUUUCGACAGGCAUGGAAAACGCCGUGAUAUUCUGUGAUAGCGUAGCGCUUCGGCAAAGUUGCGCUUAGUUCGGCCGGAAAAAUGAUCGGUGCCACUUUUUUGAUUAUUCUCGAUAACAACGAGACUCGCGUCGGCUGUCUCGUCAAAUUUCUCAGACACGAGAGAGCGUCUUCUACCGAAACGCAACUGCGACUGGAGCACGUCGCUCGCGACGUCCCUUGAAGAGAGACCAGACAAAGGCGCGUGUUUAAUGUCGCACAAAAACGAUGCACUUCGCGAAAUCCGAUCGCGAACACGAUUCGCGCUCUACAGCGAGCAGCAACCUACGUAAAACCUGUGACCUGUGACAUUGUGAUGUGUAGUCAGAUUUCGAGAUAUUGUCGCGCGAGUGCGCUAGCGCGUACUGAUUUAAUUAUCCGUUUAAUUGCGCCGAGCCGGUACAUUCGAGCGAAACUUCUCCAAUGUACAUCGUCAAGUGUGUUUAUAAAAAAGAGUGAACGCGCCGUCACGACGAGGUGAAAAAGUGCAGAAAGCGACGGACGGGUGAACUCGUUAAGUGCAUCAUCUCUAUUAUUAAACGACACGGCUACCGUGCGCCGGUUAAUACAGCGCCGAUCAAGUCCGAUCGUAUGUAUAGGGCCAAUGCGGAAUCGUUCUUAUUACGGUUGGAAACGAUGUGCCGCGCGCGCGCGCGAUGCAUAUGUGCAAUAAAAUCACGCGAGCGGGAGUGGCCGACGUAUGUUGUUCAAUUGAAUUCAACGCGAAUGUCGAUGACGGAAUGACACUCGCGGAUAUCGAUUCAUUCGUUCGUUCGCUCGUCCGUCCGCUCGCUCGCUCGUUCGUUCGUUCACGGUCAGCCUCCAUUGUUUUGCCGCGUGCGCCCACAUUUGUGCUCUCAAUCGCGGCGAAUUUGCAUUAAUGAGCGAUUAUGCGUGCGCCGCGUUUUACGGAUGCACACGGAAAUGUCGGUUCGACCGUCAAACACUGCAAACACACACCUCGCAGCGGUGUAUCGUAGCGUGUGAGGUCGCGGAAAGCCAAAUUACGCGCGAAUACUGAUUAAUGAAAUAUCCCCCCCCCCCUCCUUCUCACAACGUGAGUGACAUCUCAAGGAUGUCAUUAAUCAAGUCCGCGGGAUAUGUUAAGGCCUUAGGGCAUCUUAGCAUUUUCAAAAAAUCGAAUUUUUUGAGUUUAAAAUGUUCUUUAUAAUCUUAAAAACAAUAUACGACUUGACCCAACACUGAAAUUUGUAAAGCUGGAUUAGAGCCGAUUGUGUGAAGCGCCUUUCUCAACGCUCAAGCUGCUUAGGACGCUAUUAAACCGAUAUAUACGGAUUUAAGCAGUGAUGAUUUAUUAACUCGUUGCUUAGGUGAAUAUAUUCAAAGUAAUAACGAGUGCUUUAACUUAAUUCUUUGGUCCUUAGCUCUAAAAUCUACAUCGAGCGGCAAGUUAUUAGUAGACAUUGCUGAUGUUAGAGUUAUUAGUAGACAGCAGCUGAGGUCGUUGUACUAACUUUCAACCAUGGACUUAGAAAUUUUAUGAAAGUAAUGGAAGUGCUAGGUUCCAUGCUUAUGAAAAUUGGCAAUAACUGCUAUAAUUUUUGCGUCAAGCCGCAUAUAUUCCGCGAAACGCAGUAUGACAGAGACUACUAAAACCGCUCGAAAAGCUUCUACAUUGACUAGGAAAAAGAAGGACGAGGCUAAUACCAAUCUGGAAGGGCAGCUAUAUGAUGAUGGAAUUGCGGAAUAAAGGUUCAGAUGCCGACGACUUCUGCUGCGUGCCGCGGAAAGCCUUUUUAAAAAACGCACAAAAGUGGACAACUCCUACGCCGCCAUUUUGUACCUUAGAAAUCUAAAAAAUUUUUUUUGUAUACUCGAGCACUUAUAUAUUCAUAAUAUUAAAUUAGAUUUUUAUUUUACUUCACUGUUUAUUUAUAAAAAAUUGCCGAAAACAUGCUCUUUUGGAAGCGUCAAAGUGGCCUAAGGCCUUAAUGAACGGUCGUCUUAAUGCACAGUCGCCAAAUGUAUCAUGUCGAUAACGAAAUCGAGAAUAAAUCUAAUGAACUCUUUCGCUAUCAUAUAUAUGUUUUCCCCACAAUAUUAUUAUUAAUAUCCAAUAAUUUCAAUAUUAUUAUUAAUAUUCAGUAAUAUUGAAUAAAGCUUUUUCGCAUUCGGAACACACAUAGAA